rnacentral:rRNA from 1 species
UACGUAGGGGGCAAGCGUUAUCCGGAUUUACUGGGUGUAAAGGGAGCGUAGGCGGAUCGUUAAGUCAGUGGUCAAAUUGAGGGGCUCAACCCCUUCCCGCCAUUGAAACUGGCGCUCUUGAGUGGAAGAGAAGUAUGCGGAAUGCGUGGUGUAGCGGUGAAAUGCAUAGAUAUCACGCAGAACCCCGAUUGCGAAGGCAGCAUGCCGGCUUCCGACUGACGCUGAAGCACGAAAGCGUGGGGAUCGAACAGG